rnacentral:rRNA from 1 species
UACGAAGGGGGCUAGCGUUGCUCGGAAUCACUGGGCGUAAAGCGCACGUAGGCGGAUUGUUAAGUCAGGGGUGAAAUCCUGGAGCUCAACUCCAGAACUGCCUUUGAUACUGGCGAUCUUGAGUCCGGGAGAGGUGAGUGGAACUGCGAGUGUAGAGGUGAAAUUCGUAGAUAUUCGCAAAGAACACCAGUGGCGAAGGCGGCUCACCUGGCCCGGUACUGACGCUGAGGUGCGAAAGCGUGGGGAGCAACAGGA